UCCAAUCUGCAAAUAUACAGCCGGGAGGGGAAUACAAACUUUAGCACUAGUCUUUAUCAUUGGCCAAUGUCUCAGAGCUUGCCUUCUACCAUCCGUUAUCGGUUCCUGCAAACAUUGGUGGCUAAUGCGGCUGCCUCGCCGACUAAUUCCUGGCCGAAAUCCCCCAGUGCUGAUGGACCUAGAGAGUUAGGUCUCGCUGCCUACACAUCUUGGCUGAGUUGCUGAGCAUUUUCCAGCACUUUCUGCAAAGCGUGAACAGUACUGGUGAGCGAAAAGGAGCAACUGGUAGCGAAGGUACACAACGCAAGAUGACCUACCGUGCUUCUCAGUCCGGGAGAGGCGUCGGGCAGUGCAGCCUAGCCCAACUUCAACCCUUCUCACAGGCGGGAAAAGUUCACUUCUGAAAGGCUUUGAAUUAUUUGUUUCUGCGUCCAAUCAACGACCGCCUGUACUUGUUUUUUUUUAACCCGAGUACAGUGCAGAUUCCUGGUGAAAUCUCGAAUCCUGGUUGGGGGAAGAUUCUGAGUCUCAAAGGGUUAAUUUGAGUGACGUUUUUUGUAGAUUUUUAGCUUCCUUGGAGAGAGAUUUUAAAGACAUCAGUUGAAGCCCGUGGAAAAAGAGAGAAGACACAUGGAGUCAGGAAUAAACUGAAGAAAGCACCAAUCCACCGACAGGAACACGAGGGUAGGAGAAAUCGACAAUCUCAGAGAAAGUAAUGACAUCCAGAGCGAAAGCAAGACAACGUGGGGCCGAGCCAGACUCAACGCGGCAACAAACAUGAGGAGUCGCUGCAGAAACCUUUGGGGCGAUAGGAAAGGGAACCGCAGGCGUGGGAGAAAGCAAAGACCCAGACACCCAGCGUGCGGUUAGAAAAAAAGAGCCAAGUCCUGGACGAUAGCCGACGAGCGGCAGCCUGGCGUGGGAGAAUGGGGCCAAGCCGGCGCCGAGCGAGCAAACCGCAGCAAUCUCAGCGUCCGCGUCCGACCUGGAGCUAGGACGGGCUCCCAGUAAGAGCCGGCAAUAGUUUCGGCAGGACGAAGAAAACUCAGCCAGGAAGCCAUCAAGUGGGAUCUGCCAAAAUCUGGGGAACUGACAAGCUCCGGGAGUUGACAAGCGGCGCAACACCACUUCAGCAUUAAUUCAGGACCAACAUUUCAGGCUGACUUUUCAUCAAAAUGUUUGCACAUACUUGAAGGAAGAUUAUGGGUUUAACCCAGAAGAAAGUGGGAUGAUAUCCAGUUCUGAGAUGCAGGUUCCUCCACUGUGCUCUCCUUUCCUCCUCAAGGCGUUUACUUACAUGUUCUGCCCUUGGAUAACCAUAAAUUAACCUACAAGGGAAGUAGCCUUUAUCAA